CCUACGGGAGGCAGCAGUGGGGAAUAUUGCACAAUGGGGGAAACCCUGAUGCAGCGACGCCGCGUGAGUGAAGAAGUAUCUCGGUACGUAAAGCUCUAUCAGCAGGGAAGAAAAUGACGGUACCUGACUCAGAAGCCCCGGCUAACUACGUGCCAGCAGCCGCGGUAAUACGUCGGGGGCAAGCGUUAUCCGGAUUUACUGGGUGUAAAGGGAGCGUAGACGGCAGGACAAGUCUGGAGUGAAAUCCCGGGGCUUAACCCCGGAACUGCUUUGGAAACUGGGCGGCUGGAGUGCAGGAGGGGUAAGCGGAAUUCCUGGUGUAGCGGUGAAAUGCGUAGAUAUUAGGAGGAACACCGGUGGCGAAGGCGGCUUACUGGACUGUAACUGACGUUGAGGCUCGAAAGCGUGGGGAGCAAACAGGAUUAGAUACCCCUGUAGUC
rnacentral:rRNA from 1 species